AAGACUGUCCUCUAGAGGAGCAGAACGCCAGUGCCUGUAUCAGAGAGCCAUGGUGACUUUGUUUCAUGAUAUGAUUCAUCAUGAAGUUGAACGCUAUGCUAUGACAUGAUAGCAAAGUCCCAAACAGGAGAGAGGCAUCUGGCAGACCGGGGCAAGUCGUUUGACCGAUUGAGACAAUUCAAACUGAGGUUGAAUUCGAAUCAGUGCACUAUCAGAGUGCGAUCCGGUAAGCUGUUGGGGUUCAUUGUAAGAGAGGAAUCGAGGUUCAUCCUGCUUA
rnacentral:lncRNA from 1 species